AAACCAACAGGGAUUGCCUCAGUAACGGCGAGUGAAGCGGCAAAAAGCUCAAAUUUGAAAUCCCCCCGGGGAAUUGUAAUUUGAAGAUUGUGUUUUGGAAACGACCGUGUCUAUGUUCCUUGGAACAGGACGUCACAGAGGGUGAGAAUCCCGUGCGGCACGGCCACCGUUUCCUUAUAAAACACUCUCGACGAGUCGAGUUGUUUGGGAAUGCAGCUCAAAGUGGGUGGUAAAUUCCAUCUAAAGCUAAAUACAGGCGAGAGACCGAUAGCGAACAAGUACAGUGAUGGAAAGAUGAAAAGCACUUUGAAAAGAGAGUGAAACAGUACGUGAAAUUGUUGAAAGGGAAGGGCAUGCCGUCAGAUUGUCAGUGUGGGUAAGAAGCGGGGUACAAAGACUGUGGAACGUGGCCCUCGGGUGUUAUAGCCACAGUUCAUCCCCCGUCUCUUUCCGAGGCCUGCUUUGAGGACACCGACGUAAUGACGGUACGCCGCCCGUCUUGAAACACGGA
rnacentral:rRNA from 1 species